rnacentral:lncRNA from 1 species
AGCUCCGCGACCGCCCGUGGCCACACCAGUCGGGGACUUCGUGCUUUACGAUGGGGGCGCAGCGGUCUGGCACGCGCAGGACCCCGGGCCUUGCACCCCAACGCUGGCCGCCCUGGACCCGCGGCGGGGACCCGCGCAGUCAGGGUACCUGCCCAUACCGAUGGGGUGGGGACCAGCACGGAGACUUUCCUUCACCCCGCGGCUUCUGUUCCUUUCAGGACGGACAGCGCCCACCCGGAGGAAAGCCUGACAGAUGAGACUUCGCAAGGAACCUGCCAGUUCAGGGAGGCCCACCUUUCUAGAAGGUUAACAGGAACUUCCAGCCUCCAGCCUACUUAGUGACCAGCUGCUGGAGGACAGUGAGUGGCCCCUGCUGUCCGCAUCUCCACAGGGGUCACCAAGCGCACUCACAGGGUCCCCCUCCACCUGGAGCAGAGAAUUCGGAGGAGCCCGUCUUGCUGUCUUUUCUGAUGUUGUUAAACUAUGCUUGGGCCUGUCCUUUGCUGAAAGGAGCUUUCUACACAGCUGGACUUCUGAGGUGGGACCUGCCACGUGCUAACUCUGGCACUCGGAGCGGUCUCUGCCACUGGCAAUGUCCUGUCCUGAACAUUUCCAGUGUGGCCUCUCUCCUGAAAGGCCUGUGUGCGACUUCUUUGUGAAGCCGGAAGAAAGUUCUGGGACUUCCCCUUCUCCUUUGGUGCAAAGUUACACUAACUGUCAUGAUGUUGUUGAUUUCCUUUUUUUUUUUUUUUUUUUUGAGAGUCUCACUCUGUUGCCUAGACUGGAGUGCAAUGGCGUGAUCUCGGCUCACUACAGCCUCCGCCUCCUGGGUUCAAGUGAUUCUCCUGCCUCAGCCUCCCAAGUAGCUGGGAUUACAGGCGUGAGCCACCGUGCCCGGCCUUGAUUUCCUUCUUAAGCAGAGCUGAGUCUCUGUCUCUGUCCACACCAGUGCCUCCUGGGCCUUCCUGAGCACGUGUGGCUGGCAUCGCUUCCCAUCUCUGCUCCCUGUGGCAUCUUGCUGUGUCCCCGGCACCUCUGCAAAGCACAGCCUGGCCAACAUGGUGAAAUCCCGUCUCUACUGCAAAAACUCAAAAAUUAGCCAGGCGUGCUGGCACGCGUCUGUAGUCCCAGUUACUCUGGAGGCUGAGGCAGAAGAAUCACUUGAACCUGGGAGGCGGAGGUUGCAGUGAGCCAAGAUAGUGCCACUGCACUCCAGCCUGGGCAACACAGUGAGACUCUGUCUCAAAAAAAAAAAAAAAAAGGUACCGGCCAGGUGCGGUGGCUCACGUCUGUAAUCUCAGCACUUAGGGAGGCCGAGGCAGGUGGAUCACUUGAGGUCAGGAGUUCAAGACCAGCCUGGCCAACAUGGUGAAACCCCAUCUGUAUUAAUAGUAAAUCCAAAAAUUAGCUGGUUGUGGUGAUGCACGCCUGUAGUCCCAACUACUCGGGAGGCUGAGGCGGGAGAAUCACUUGAACCCAGGAGGUGGAGGUUGUAGUGAGACAAGAUUGCGCUACUGCAAUCCCACCUGGGCAACAAGAAGGAAACUCUGUCUCAAAAAAAAAAAAAGAAAAGAAAAAAGAAAAAACAUAUUGUCCUGGCUGCUGAGGGGCCUAAGGCCACACACGUGGCAGUUAGCUCAGCCGUGCACCUGUGGGAGUGACAGACCUCAGCCUGGAAGACAUUAUCUGUGGAUCUCCAGUGCAAAAGUGGCCAGUACCAAAAUGGAGUCACUUAUGUCAAACCCUGAAAAAUGGAGCCAGGAGGCCACGAAGGACGGGCUCUCCCAGGUGUGCCAGGAAAGAAACUACGGAAUUUCUCAAAACCACAGUACUGCCGCUAAGCUGCCUGCACGAGGACGCUUGCCUGACAAGGGCCGUCUUCACCUCCAGAUGAAUGCCAACUCCUGCAACAAGCCUGAUACAGUUUGGCUGUGUCCCCAUCCAAAUCUCAUCUUGCAUUUCCCACAAUCCCCACGUGUUGUGGGAGGGACCUGGUGGGAGGUAAUUGAAUCAUGGGGCCAGUUACCCCCAUGCUGUUCUCGUGACAGUGAGUUCUCAGGACAUCUGGUAGUUUUAUAAGGAGCUUUUCCCCUUUGCUCAGCAGGUUUCUCUCCUGCAGCCAGGUGAAGGAUGUGUUUACUUCCCCUUCUGCUGUGAUUGUUAAGUUUCUUGAGCCACGUGGAACUGUGGGUCAGGUAAACCUCUUUCCUUUAUAAAUU